rnacentral:lncRNA from 1 species
GAAGUCUGAUUGUGCGCUCGUAGAACAUAAAUGAUGUUGAAAUCCGGAAAACAAAUCUGAAGCGUCUCAAUCAUUUCCAACUCUGUCGUAAAGCUUAGCCAAGCAUGAGGUUCCUUCAUCAUUGCAAUCAGCUUCUUGCAAUAUGUCCCAAAGCUCAAAGCAUGUUCUCCAUUGCCCACCGCAGUGCUUCUACUUCCGAAUGCAAAGCUGAUUCGCGCCGAGUGAAGUUCCUUGCCCCAUAAGUUGAAUGUUCCCACCACUGUCCAUCCAAGCCCAUCCACAUCCACUAAAAUGAGCAGAAGCUGUCCAAGAUCCAU